rnacentral:rRNA from 1 species
AACGAACGCUGGCGGCGUGCCUAACACAUGCAAGUCGAACGGAGAUAAGGGGCUUGCUCCUUAUUUUAGUGGCGCACGGGUGAGUAGCGCGUGGAUAAUCUACCCAAUGCUCAGGGAUAACAUCUCGAAAGGGGUGCUAAUACCUGAUAAGCCCACGGGCUCUUCGGAGUUUGCGGGAAAAGGGGGGGACCUUCGGGCCUCCCGACAUUGGAUGAGUCCGCGUCCCAUUAGCUAGUUGGUGGGGUAAAGGCCUACCAAGGCGACGAUGGGUAGCUGGUCUGAGAGGAUGAUAAGCCACACUGGGACUGAGACACGGCCCAGACUCCUACGGGAGGCAGCAGUGGGGAAUUUUGGACAAUGGGGGAAACCCUGAUCCAGCCAUGCCGCGUGCGGGAAGAAGGCCUUCGGGUUGUAAACCGCUUUUAGCCGGAAAGAAAAGGCGCGGGCUAAUACCCCGCGUUUUUGACGGUACCGGCGGAAUAAGCACCGGCUAACUACGUGCCAGCCGCCGCAGUAACAC